ACUCAAAUGAAUUGACGGGGGCCCGCACAAGCAGCGGAGCGUGUGGUUUAAUUCGAUGCAACGCGCAGAACCUUACCGGGGUUUGACAUGUGCAGGAAAGCCCCAGAGAUGGGGUCCUCCUUCGGGACCUGUGCACAGGUGCUGCAUGGCUGUCGUCAGCUCGUGCCGUGAGGUGUUGGGUUAAGUCCCGCAACGAGCGCAACCCUCGCCAGUAGUUGCAUGUUUCUACUGGGACCGCUGCGCAAAACGCAGAGGAAGGUGGGGAUGAUGUCAAGUCAUCAUGGCCCUGAUGCCCCGGGCUACACACACGCUACAAUGGGCGGUACAGACGGUCGCCAACCCGCGAGGGGGAGCUAAUCCGACAAAGCCGUCCUCAGUCCAGAUUGCAGGCUGCAACUCGCCUGCAUGAAGACGGAGUUGCUAGUAACCGCAGGUCAGCACACUGCGGUGAAUACGUUCCCGGGCCUUGUACACACCGCCCGU
rnacentral:rRNA from 1 species